CUGGCUUCCAAAGGCCUCUGUGUGUUCCUGUAUGUGGGCGUGCACGUACCUGUCACAUGUGUACGCGCAGACCACAGGAUGUCCACACUGGCUUCCAAACACAUCU
ensembl:miRNA MIR3939 microRNA 3939